GGCAACCCUGAUCCAGCAAUGCCGCGUGCAGGAAGAAGGCCUUCGGGUUGUAAACUGCUUUUGUCAGGGAAGAAAUCCUGUGGGUUAAUACCUCGUGGGGAUGACGGUACCUGAAGAAUAAGCACCGGCUAACUACGUGCCAGCAGCCGCGGUAAUACGUAGGGUGCGAGCGUUAAUCGGAAUUACUGGGCGUAAAGCGUGCGCAGGCGGUUUUGUAAGACAGAGGUGAAAUCCCCGGGCUCAACCUGGGAACUGCCUUUGUGACUGCAAGGCUGGAGUACGGCAGAGGGGGAUGGAAUUCCA
rnacentral:rRNA from 1 species